UACGAGGGGGGCAAGCGUUGUUCGGAAUUAUUGGGCGUAAAGGGCGCGUAGGCGGUGCGGUAAGUCACCUGUGAAACCUCUAGGCUCAACCUAGAGCCUGCAGGCGAAACUGCCGUGCUUGAGGGUGGGAGAGGUGCGUGGAAUUGCAGGUGUAGCGGUGAAAUGCGUAGAUAUCUGCAGGAACACCCGUGGCGAAAGCGGCGCGCUGGACCACUACUGACGCUGAGGAACGAAAGCUAGGGGAGCAAACAGG
rnacentral:rRNA from 1 species